GGGGACGUUACGGAUUCGACAGGCAUAGUUCGAGCUUGAAUUGCGCUUCGUAGGUUACGUCUACGCAAAAACGUUACAGUUAAAUAUAACUGCUAAAAACGAAAACAACUCUUACGCUUUAGCUGCCUAAAAACAGUUAACGUAGAUCCUCUCGGCAUCGCCCAUGUGCUCGAGUAAGGGUCCUAAAUUUAGUGGGAUACGCUAGAUUUUUCCGUCUGUAAAAUCUAGAAGAGCAUAUCAGACUAGCAAUGCAAAUCGCCCGUUCUCCGGCAGUCUGCAGAGCGAAUCUUCAAUAGGAGCAACUAUGAGCGUAGAUUUUUGAGUGUCGAUAUGUUUGGACGCGGGUUCGACUCCCGCCGUCUCCAUUC
rfam:Enterococcus faecalis 13-SD-W-01 genomic scaffold Scaffold394, whole genome shotgun sequence.